CCUACGGGUGGCUGCAGUGGGGAAUAUUGGACAAUGGGGGCAACCCUGAUCCAGCCAUGCCGCGUGUGUGAAGAAGGCCCUCGGGUUGUAAAGCACUUUCAGUGAGGAAGAACGCCUGGUGGUUAAUACCCAUCAGGAAAGACAUCACUCACAGAAGAAGCACCGGCUAACUCCGUGCCAGCAGCCGCGGUAAUACGGAGGGUGCGAGAGUUAAUCGGAAUUACUGGGCGUAAAGCGCGCGUAGGUGGCUUGAUAAGCCGGUUGUGAAAGCCCCGGGCUCAACCUGGGAACGGCAUCCGGAACUGUCAAGCUAGAGUGCAGGAGAGGAAGGUAGAAUUCCCGGUGUAGCGGUGAAAUGCGUAGAGAUCGGGAGGAAUACCAGUGGCGAAGGCGGCCUUCUGGACUGACACUGACACUGAGGUGCGAAAGCGUGGGUAGCAAACAGGAUUAGAUCCCCAGUAGUC
rnacentral:rRNA from 1 species